rnacentral:tRNA from 2 species
ACAAAAAUGGCAGAUAAGUGCAUUAGAUUUAGGCUCUAAACAUAAAGACAUUUUCUUUUUUUUGUA